GACGAACGCUGGCGGCGUGCUUAACACAUGCAAGUCGAACGGAAAGGCCCUGCUUUUGUGGGGUGCUCGAGUGGCGAACGGGUGAGUAACACGUGAGUAACCUGCCCUUGACUUUGGGAUAACUUCAGGAAACUGGGGCUAAUACCGGAUAGGAGCUCCUGCUGCAUGGUGGGGGUUGGAAAGUUUCGGCGGUUGGGGAUGGACUCGCGGCUUAUCAGCUUGUUGGUGGGGUAGUGGCUUACCAAGGCUUUGACGGGUAGCCGGCCUGAGAGGGUGACCGGCCACAUUGGGACUGAGAUACGGCCCAGACUCCGACGGGGGGCAGCAGUGGGGAAUAUUGCACAAGGGGCGGAAGCCGGAUGCAGAAACGCCGCGUGGGGGAGGACGGCCUUCGGGUUGUAAACCGCUUUCGCCUGUGACGAAGCGUGAGUGACGGGAAUGGGUAAAGAAGCACCGGCUAACUACGU
rnacentral:rRNA from 1 species